AUGGCUUCAGAAGAGCUACAGAAAGAUCUAGAAGAGGUAAAGGUGUUGCUGGAAAAAGGCUACUAGGAAAAGAGUACGUGAUGCCCUUACAGCUGAAAAAUCCAAGAUUGAGACGGAAAUCAAGAACAAGAUGCAACAGAAAUCACAGAAGAAAGCGGAACUUCUUGAUAAUGAAAAACCAGCUGCUGUGGUUGCUCCCAUUACAACGGGCUAUAAGGUGAAAAGCAGUAAUUAUGGAUGGGAUCAGUCAGAUAAGUGUGUGAAAAUCUACAUUACCUUAAGUGGAGUGCAUCAAGUUCCCACUGAGAAUGUGCAGGUGCAUUUCACAGAGAGGUCAUUUGAUCUUUUGGUAAAGAAUCUAAAUGGGAAGAGUUACUCCAUGAUUGUGAACAAUCUCUUGAAACCCAUCUCUGUGGAAGGCAGUUCAAAAAAAGUCAAGACAGAUACAGUUCUUAUAUUGUGUAGAAAGAAAGUGGAAAACACAAGGUGGGAUUACCUGACCCACGUUGAAAAAGAGUGCAAAGAAAAAGAGAAGCCCUCCUAUGACACUGAAACAGAUCCUAGUGAGGGAUUGAUGAAUGUUCUAAAGAAAAUUUAUGAAGAUGGAGAUGAUGAUAUAAAGAGAACCAUUAAUAAAGACUGGGUGGAAUCAAGAGAGAAGCAAGCCAAAGGAGUUUUGAGACUUUAAGGUCCUUUUGGGAACUGUGAUGUGAUGUGGAAAUACUGAUGUUUCCAGUAAGGGAAUAUUGGUGAGCUGCAUAUAUAAAUUUGACAGAUAGCUAUUUACAUAGCCUUCUAAGUAAAGGCAGUGAAUUCUCCAUUUCCUACUGGAGGAUUUAUUUAAAUAAAAUAUGCUUAUUAAACACUCCUGCAAACAUGG